rnacentral:misc_RNA from 1 species
AUUCCGUAGGUGAACCUGCGGAAGGAUCAUUACUGAGUGAGGGCCCCUCGGGGUCCAACCUCCCACCCGUGUUUAACGAACCUUGUUGCUCCGGCGGGCCCGCCUCACGGCCGCCGGGGGGCAUUUGCCCCCGGGCCCGCGCCCGCCGAAGCCACCUGUGAACGCUGUCUGAAGUAUGCAGUCUGAGACAAUUAUUAAAUUAAUUAAAACUUUCAACAACGGAUCUCUUGGUUCCG